AAAUUGAAGAGUUUGAUCAUGGCUCAGAUUGAACGCUGGCGGCAGGCCUAACACAUGCAAGUCGAACGGUAACAGGAAGCAGCUUGCUGCUUUGCUGACGAGUGGCGGACGGGUGAGUAAUGUCUGGGAAACUGCCUGAUGGAGGGGGAUAACUACUGGAAACGGUGGCUAAUACCGCAUAACGUCGCAAGACCAAAGAGGGGGACCUUCGGGCCUCUUGCCAUCAGAUGUGCCCAGAUGGGAUUAGCUAGUUGGUGAGGUAACGGCUCACCAAGGCGACGAUCCCUAGCUGGUCUGAGAGGAUGACCAGCCACACUGGAACUGAGACACGGUCCAGACUCCUACGGGAGGCAGCAGUGGGGAAUAUUGCACAAUGGGCGCAAGCCUGAUGCAGCCAUGCCGCGUGUAUGAAGAAGGCCUUCGGGUUGUAAAGUACUUUCAGCGGGGAGGAAGGUGUUGUGGUUAAUAACCGCAGCAAUUGACGUUACCCGCAGAAGAAGCACCGGCUAACUCCGUGCCAGCAGCCGCGGUAAUACGGAGGGUGCAAGCGUUAAUCGGAAUUACUGGGCGUAAAGCGCACGCAGGCGGUCUGUCAAGUCGGAUGUGAAAUCCCCGGGCUCAACCUGGGAACUGCAUUCGAAACUGGCAGGCUUGAGUCUUGUAGAGGGGGGUAGAAUUCCAGGUGUAGCGGUGAAAUGCGUAGAGAUCUGGAGGAAUACCGGUGGCGAAGGCGGCCCCCUGGACAAAGACUGACGCUCAGGUGCGAAAGCGUGGGGAGCAAACAGGAUUAGAUACCCUGGUAGUCCACGCCGUAAACGAUGUCUACUUGGAGGUUGUGCCCUUGAGGCGUGGCUUCCGGAGCUAACGCGUUAAGUAGACCGCCUGGGGAGUACGGCCGCAAGGUUAAAACUCAAAUGAAUUGACGGGGGCCCGCACAAGCGGUGGAGCAUGUGGUUUAAUUCGAUGCAACGCGAAGAACCUUACCUGGUCUUGACAUCCACAGAACUUUCCAGAGAUGGAUUGGUGCCUUCGGGAACUGUGAGACAGGUGCUGCAUGGCUGUCGUCAGCUCGUGUUGUGAAAUGUUGGGUUAAGUCCCGCAACGAGCGCAACCCUUAUCCUUUGUUGCCAGCGGUUAGGCCGGGAACUCAAAGGAGACUGCCAGUGAUAAACUGGAGGAAGGUGGGGAUGACGUCAAGUCAUCAUGGCCCUUACGACCAGGGCUACACACGUGCUACAAUGGCGCAUACAAAGAGAAGCGACCUCGCGAGAGCAAGCGGACCUCAUAAAGUGCGUCGUAGUCCGGAUUGGAGUCUGCAACUCGACUCCAUGAAGUCGGAAUCGCUAGUAAUCGUGGAUCAGAAUGCCACGGUGAAUACGUUCCCGGGCCUUGUACACACCGCCCGUCACACCAUGGGAGUGGGUUGCAAAAGAAGUAGGUAGCUUAACCUUCGGGAGGGCGCUUACCACUUUGUGAUUCAUGACUGGGGUGAAGUCGUAACAAGGUAACCGUAGGGGAACCUGCGGUUGGAUCACCUCCUUA
rnacentral:rRNA from 12 species